AUUGAACGCUGGCGGCAUGCUUUACACAUGCAAGUCGAACGGCAGCACGGGCUUCGGCCUGGUGGCGAGUGGCGAACGGGUGAGUAAUACAUCGGAACGUACCCAGAAGUGGGGGAUAACGCAGCGAAAGUUGCGCUAAUACCGCAUACGUUCUACGGAAGAAAGUGGGGGAUCUUCGGACCUCAUGCUUUUGGAGCGGCCGAUGUCUGAUUAGCUAGUUGGUGGGGUAAAGGCUCACCAAGGCGACGAUCAGUAGCUGGUCUGAGAGGACGACCAGCCACACUGGAACUGAGACACGGUCCAGACUCCUACGGGAGGCAGCAGUGGGGAAUUUUGGACAAUGGGCGCAAGCCUGAUCCAGCAAUGCCGCGUGAGUGAAGAAGGCCUUCGGGUUGUAAAGCUCUUUUGUCAGGGAAGAAACGGUUGGGGCUAAUAU
rnacentral:rRNA from 1 species